UGGGGAAUAUUGCGCAAUGGGCGAAAGCCUGACGCAGCAACGCCGCGUGAGGGAUGACGGCCUUCGGGUUGUAAACCUCUUUCAGCAGGGACGAAGCGAAAGUGACUGUACCUGCAGAAGAAGCGCCGGCUAACUACGUGCCAGCAGCCGCGGUAAUACGUAGGGCGCAAGCGUUGUCCGGAUUUAUUGGGCGUAAAGAGCUCGUAGGCGGUUUGUCGCGUCGGAUGUGAAAACCCGGAACUCAACUCCGGGCCUGCAUUCGAUACGGGCAGACUUGAGUACUGCAGGGGAGACUGGAAUUCCUGGUGUAGCGGUGGAAUGCGCAGAUAUCAGGAGGAACACCGGUGGCGAAGGCGGGUCUCUGGGCAGAAACUGACGCUGAGGAGCGAAAGCGUGGGGAGCGAACA
rnacentral:rRNA from 1 species